rnacentral:rRNA from 1 species
AGUGAACGCUGGCGGUAGGCCUAACACAUGCAAGUCGAAUGGCAGCACAGUAAGAGCUUGCUCUUACGGGUGGCGAGUGGCGGACGGGUGAGGAAUACAUCGGAAUCUACUUUUUCGUGGGGGAUAACGUAGGGAAACUUACGCUAAUACCGCAUACGAUCUACGGGUGAAAGCAGGGGAUCUUCGGACCUUGCGCGAUUGAAUGAGCCGAUGUGGGAUUGGCUAGUGGGCGGGGUAAAUGCCCACCAAGGCGACGAUCCGUAGCUGGUCUGAGAGGAUGGUCCGCCACACUGGAGCUGAGACACGGUCCAGACUCCUACGGGACGCAGCAGUGGGGAAUAGUGGACAAUGGGCGGGAGCCUUAUCCAACCAUAGCGAGUGGGUGAAGAAGGCGUUGGGUUUGUAAAGCCCUUUUGUUGGGAAAGAAAAGCAGCAGGUUAAUACCCCGCUGUUCUGACGGUACCCAAUGAAUAAGCACCGGCUAACUUCGUG